rnacentral:rRNA from 1 species
UACGAAGGGGGCUAGCGUUGCUCGGAAUCACUGGGCGUAAAGGGUGCGUAGGCGGGUUUUUAAGUCAGAGGUGAAAUCCUGGAGCUCAACUCCAGAACUGCCUUUGAUACUGAAAGUCUUGAGUAUGGGAGAGGUGAGUGGAACUGCGAGUGUAGAGGUGAAAUUCGUAGAUAUUCGCAAGAACACCAGUGGCGAAGGCGGCUCACUGGCCCGUUACCGACGCUCAGGCGCGACAGCGUGGGGAGCAAACAGG